UGGGGAAUUUUGGACAAUGGGGGCAACCCUGAUCCAGCCAUGCCGCGUGAGUGAAGAAGGCCUUCGGGUUGUAAAGCUCUUUCGGACGGGACGAAAUGGUUAGCGUGAAUAACGCUGACUGAUGACGGUACCGUAAUAAGAAGCACCGGCUAACUACGUGCCAGCAGCCGCGGUAAUACGUAGGGUGCGAGCGUUGUCCGGAUUUACUGGGCGUAAAGAGCGCGCAGGCGGUCGUUCAAGUCGAGUGUGAAAGCCCCCGGCUCAACUGGGGAGGGUCACUCGAUACUGAUCGACUCGAAGGCAGGAGAGGGAAGUGGAAUUCCCGGUGUAGUGGUGAAAUGCGUAGAUAUCGGGAGGAACACCAGUGGCGAAGGCGACUUCCUGGCCUGUUCUUGACGCUGAGGCGCGAAAGCUAGGGGAGCAAACGGGAUUAGAUACCCCAGUAGUCCCUGAGCGGGCUGGCAAGGCGCAU
rnacentral:rRNA from 1 species